UCUUUUCCUACACGAGGCUUUUCCAUGUUGGGUGGAACAAGGGUGGAAAUAUUUGUAAUUUUUUAUACCUAUUGUAAGUCACAAGGGGCAGCACACGCAGUUUUUUAUGGUGACAGAUGUAUAUUUUGAUAACAGCGGUUACAGGCUCAGUGUUGUAAGGGGAGCAGGCAGAGUCCACUGCCCGCCGCUGGCUUGUAAUGUGGAGAGAACUGAAUUAAAGCAAUUUUAUAACAA